UUGCCACUAUGCCCAACUAAUAUUUGGAAUUUUCGUAUACGUGGAUUCCAGAGGGGUGACAGCAAAACGUGGGAACAUCCAGUUGCAGGAAAACAAGCUUAACACGCCCACUGAGGUCUCCCUCUGUUGUCCAAGGACUAUGCCCAACUAACAUUUGGAAUUUUCGUAUACGUGGAUUCUAGAGGGGUGACAGCGAAACGUGGGACCAUUCAGUUGCAGGAAAACAAGCUUAACACGCCCACUAAUUCUACAUUAUGCUCCUACCUCCCGGCAGCCUCUCCAGGCCCAGAACUUUCUCCAGUCAGCCUCUACAGACCAAGCUCAUGACUCACAAUGGCCUAUUUAGGCCCAUACCCUAUGUCACGGCAGCCUCCGCAGAUGAGGCUACUGCCUCACAACAGCCUCCACAGGCACAGCUCCAUCGUGGCCCCUCCAGGCCCAGCCUCUGCCUCCCGUCAGCCUCUACAGUCCCAAAGUCUGCCUCACAGCAGAUUCUUCACGCCCAGCAUCUACCUCACUGUGGACCCCCCAAGCCAAGCUCCCAACCUUUCAGCAGCUUCUACACACCUAGCUCCUGCCACCCAGUGGCCUCUUUAGGCCAAGCUCAUGCUUCACAAGGGCCUUUCCAGGCCCAACUUUU
rnacentral:lncRNA from 10 species